AUUUAAAUAGUUUAUAGAAAAUAUUGAUUUGUGGAAUCAAAGUAAAGAAUUAUCUUUUUAAAUU
rnacentral:tRNA from 1 species